rnacentral:lncRNA from 1 species
CCAUUUGAAUGACUCUCGCAACGGAGAAACCGGACUUGUGUGGCUCGCAGCAUAACUAUUUGGCGUUGCUUCUUCAGUGGCUGUGGCUCGGCCCCUGGCUCGGCAACCUCCAUGUCCCUGAAGCCCACACAGGAGCCGAAAGAUCACCUCGGAGGGGAUCAACUGAACAAGGUGCUGCAGAAACCUGCUGCACGGAUUUGGAGCCGGGGGGUGGGGUUUGGGGGCGGCGGGGGUGUUUUUGAAAUGCUGGCGGGAUGGGGACCUGUUGCACCCCAUGCCAGAGACCGUGCAGUCCAAACUGUGGCGCUGAUUUGAAGGAUGGCAGGAUAGCCUCUUUCUCUACAGGGAACUGAGUUGGGUUUGGAGCCCACAGGUGAGGGGCUGGGCGUUCAUCCUCAAGCGGUCAGAAAUGGAGUGGUUUCAGUUUGAGUUUGAAUUCGAUUCCUGUGCUUAAAGUAUAGCUGAGGUACAAUGUUUCUUCGAGUGGUCUUUGUCCACCAAGGGACCCACUCGCAGACAUUUCCCCGCGCUGUACCGCCAGCUCCCGUUCGUUGCCCAUCCAUUCCACACAGCACAGGUGGCAUCCACAGAGCAGCCCAGAGGCCCAUCCCCAUCCAUCCCAGGGCAGCCCCUUUCCCCCACCCCCACCCGCCAAGCCCAAGUGUGUGCUCCUUGCCCACCACCUGUUUCUGAUAUCUGGGGGUUAGUUGGUUGGUUGAUUGUUGGGUAGGCCUCCUGGUAGGUGGGGUUUUGGAUAGCAUCAUCCUGUUCUGCCGUUUAGAGUCCACCAAUACGUGAUCUCCUUAGGUAUUUGUCUUUUUCUUUCCUGCUUACUUCACUUAGUAUGAGAGUCUUUCGUUCCAGCCUUGCUGCAGCAGAUGGAAUUCAUUUGAUGCUUUUUCCUUGCUGUGUACUAUGCCGGUGCACAGAUGUCCCCAGGGUUUUGAAAUGCAUCCAUCUCUCAGUGGACCUUUAGGCUGUUUCCACAUCUUGGCUCUGAUGAAUAGUGCUGUGAUAGACAUAGGGGUGACUGUAUCUUCUUCAGUGAAAGUUUGGUCCUGUUAAAAUGGAGGUGUUUGGAGCCCUGCUUCAAUCUUUGUGUGGGUUGCCCCGUGUAGGUUUCUUGGCUCUGAGUCUUUCGAGUAGGGAGGCCUUCAUCCACCGGGCCUCACGGGGCCUACCCUUGCGGCACAAUCACAGAGCUCUCUGUCAUUGCCCCUGUGUGGUUGAGUGAGGUUGUGUGUGUGUGUGGGGGGGGGGGUGCGACAUUCGUGUUUGGCUUACAAUAUGACUAGUCAGCAUUGCUUCUACGGUGGCUGUGGCUCGACCCCUGGCCUGGGAACUUCCAUAUGCCGCAGGUGCGGCCACUUGUUUUGCGCUCCCGCUCGCCUCCCCGGCCCGCCCCGGGCCCUUUCGCCUCGCCUUUUGCCCCGGCUCGCCCGCUGCCUUCGCCUGCCUUUCCUGAGCCCACCUCCCGCGCCCCGCACCCCCGACACCCCUCGCCCCGCACCCCACUCACACAUGCGCUCCCACGUGCCCCCCCGCAACCCUCACCCACGCUCUCAGACCUGGCAAUGCUUUCUCUAGCCUCAAAGCGACCGACCCACAACGGCCUCCACCUGCCCUAAGUGCUGCUGCCUGAGCUUGCUUGUGCGUUUACUGCUAUCCCUCCCUACCUACCCGUAGCCUUCUGUGCCUUGAUCCACAGUUGGGGAAGUAACCCAAAAUGGUAUCUACUCCUAGUCUCAAACGUUAUUGACUCUGCAGUUAUCAUAUCAGGUUAUGUUCCCCUGAAGGCUUUACCAUUAGUGCUUUUCACCCAGAAUCCCUGCUCCUAUUCCAUUCCUCAGAUUUUCUUCCUCUUUUCUUUCCUUCCUCUGCCACAGGCUUCCUCCAGUUGGUCAGUCUCUUCCUUCCAGUGAAAUGCCUCUGAAUUGUCGUUUUGUAUCUUCUUGCUCUGUCUGCCCUUUUCCCCAAACACAGGAAAGAUUUCGAGGCCCAUUCCUUGACCCUGGGAAAGAGGCCAGAGGGAGGGGAUUGUGUUAGAGGUGAAGAAAGCCUAGUGUUUAAGAAAAGUGUUUAAUAAAAUGCUUCCAUCCAACCAAUAUGUUACCCCCUCGUCCCUCUGUAAGGUAACAGAUUUAGGCUCUUCUCCAAGAGUUCCAGGAGUUUUUCUAUUUGUUUGGUUGUUUAGUUUCUCUUCCUUUGUAGGGUUGUUGGUUUGUUUGUUGUUUCGUUGUCAGGUGGCUAGUAAUGACCGAAUUGUGUUAGAAGCACAGCAUGUGAGAAUGGCACCUGAGCUUAGAGGUGUUGGAUCUUUCCGCUUUGUUCUCAUUCCUGUCACUGGAUGUCUGUGGCUUUUGUUUAAACUCUAGGUACUGUAGACUGUCUCCACUUGAGGGGCCCUUUGUAAAGGAUCUGGCGCCGCUGAUUUCCUAGGGACCUCAUGGAUGGUAGGACCCCAUCCUCUAGGGAGCUGAGAGAGUAUCCCCUAGAUAGGAAGUAAGGAAACUGAGCACAUCCCCCCUGCCCUGCUGCCUCACUACCACUCAACACCCCCCCCCCCCCCCCCCCACAAUCCUGGUUUUGGAGCCCAAGCUGUCAAAUUCAUUCCUUUUUCUUUCUUUCUUUUUUUUUUUGUGUGUGUGUCUUUUUGCCAUUUCUUGGGCCUUUCCUGUGGCAUAUGGAGGCUCCCAGGCUAGGGGUCUAAUCGGAACCGUAGCCACCGGCCUACACCAGAGCCACAGCAACGCGGGAUCCGAUCCGCGUCUGCAACCUACACCACAGCUCACAGCAACGCCGGAUCGUUAACCCACUGAGCAGGGGCAGGGACCGAACCGGCAUCCUCAUGGUUCCUAGUCGGAUUUGUUAACCACUGCGCCACGAUGGGAACUCCUUUUUUUUUUUUUUUUGUCUUUUUGCUAUUUCUUUGGGCCGCUCCCAAGGCAUAUGGAGGUUCCCAGGCCAGGGGUCGAAACGGAGCUGUAGCCACUGGCCUACGCCAGAGCCACAGCAACGCGGGAUCCGUAGAGACUUUCUAUACACUAGGAACAUUUGGAGCCUCUCAGGAGUAGGAAACCCCAUUUGCAGCAGCGUGGAAGAUCCAAAAUACUUUGCGAUCAAUUUAAGGAGAUAUUCAAAAACCUAUAGUAAUGAAUAUUUGAAAUGUACUCUACCUUAAUCAGAGUAACACUUAAGCAGUAUUAGAGUUGGUUCAAUGCCUCCAAUGAGUUCAUUACUUGUUAUAACAAGGUCUUUCAUACCCUUCCAAACAGGCCAAGAAUUUCAUGAGAAUUUUGGGGUAGGAAGGGGUCUUGUGUAAAAAUGAACAUUUGUAGUUGAUACUCUCUUUCUGAAUCUUCUUUGUCUAUGUAGUAUUAGGCAGGUCUUGUUUUCUUCUGCUUUCAUGAAGAUUUUUCCUUUGUGAAGUGUUCUGAAAGAAUUGUGUAUACUUGUCUGAUUGUCUGCUUUCAUCUUCUGAAUGUAAAUGCUGAUAAGACAAGGAAUUUGCUGGCUUUGCCACUACAACAGGACGAACACUUGGAUGAAUGAUAGAAUGAAUAAGAAAACUCCUGGGUAUAAUUCUCCUUUGCAGAUUACCACCUUUGGCUAACAGAGAAUGAGUUCAAAAUUCAGAUUAGAGGUCCUAUGAAUAAUAAUUAUGCCGUUUCUUUGUAAGGCAGUAUCUCCUGAGAUUGACCUUAGCAACUCCCAAUGCUGGGUGUGGGCCUCAUAUGUCACUAGGGCUCAGAUUGCACAAAUGACUCACCAAAAUCACAUAGACACCACACACACACACACACACACACCCCUACCCCUGAGGCCUCAAAUCAAGGUCUUUGUCUCCAGAAUAUAUAUGCCAAGAGGACACAUGCCUCUGUGUCCUAUCCGCCAGUAUACUCUGGAUAAAUAAUAUGCAUAUAUUUGUUGAAGAAAUAACUGAAGAAACUCCUGGAUACAAUUCUCUUUCUGGGACUAGGGCAAAUUCUAAAACAUAGCAGCUUCUAGCCUCUUGCCCUCUCUGGCUUGUCUGUUCUGGCAUCAGGAGAGGCCAGUGCUUUGCUCCUUCUCCCCUCCCCCCGACCCCUUCCCUGGAGCCUGGGUCCCCCAGCCUCUAGUCCAGGAGCUGCACCCUCAGCCCAGGCAGACUCUUCUCCCAGCUUCCGCCAAGGCUUCACAGGGACUAAGUUUCGGCUUCUUCAGCUUGGUGUCAGAAACCUGUUAGAAACUUGCAGAGUCUCAGCUCCCAGUGGGGCCGAACCAGAAGCCACAUUUGAGCACUGUCCCGGGGUCCCAUUAGCAUUUGAGGGCUCUGAGCUGCCUUUAUCAAGCAUUCCGAUUUCUAUUUUGCUGGGGAAAUACCUGGGCCUUGGGGCCCCAUCAGCCUACUGGUCCUCCUGAAGCACUGCGAUCUCUUACUGGCGGUUUUGAGAGCUGGCUUUGGAAAGAGAACCAACGUCAGGAUCCUGUGAGUCACCCACUUGGCAAACAUUUAUUAAGCACUUAUGAUGUGCAAGGCCCAUGACAGGUCCUGAGGACACAAACAUGAUUAACACAGUGUAUAUCUCCCCUGCUGAAAAAAGCAGAGACACAGACUCCAUAGGUUGAUAAUAAAUGCUAGUCAGAAAGAGCACUUCUGGUAACAAAGUGUGAUGAUGUUGAAUAGGGAUGCGGGUGUUUAGAAAGAGUGAUUCAGGAAGUUCUCGCAGAGGAGUAGGUGUUUUUUCUAAGUCCCAGAGGUGGAAUGAGGAGCCAGCUCUGUUCUGCAUUGCGUUGAAGUGGAGGAGAGGGUGGGGCAGGGUGAGCAAAUGAUUUUUCACCUGAGGAAAAACACAAGUAUGUAGACCCAGCCCCAGGAAAGACGACUUGCACUGGACGAAGGAGAGAGGUCUGCUUGUGGCUUGAGGGCACAAUGAAGAGGGAGAGACAAAAAAGAUGGAAUUCUCUGUCUUGGCACAACGGGAACCAGUCCAACUAGUAUCCAUGAGGAUGAGGGUUGGAUCCCUGGCCUUGCUUAGUGGAUCAGGGAUCUGGUGUUUCUGUGAGCUGCGGCUCAGAUUUGGUCCCUGGCCUGGGAACUUACCUGUGCUGAGGGUGCAGCCC